CCUACGGGAGACAGCAGUGGGGAAUAUUGCACAAUGGGGGAAACCCUGAUGCAGCGCCGCCGCGUGAGUGAAGAAGUAAUUCGGUAUGUAAAGCUCUAUCAGCAGGGAAGAAAAUGACGGUACCUGAGUAAGAAGCCCCGGCUAACUACGUGCCAGCAGCCGCGGUAAUACGUAGGGGGCAAGCGGUAUCCGGAUUUGAUGGGUGUAAAGGGAGCGUAGACGGCAGUGCAAGUCUGGAGUGAAAGGCGGGGGCUCAACCCACGGACUGCUCUGGAAACUGUACGGCUGGAGUGCAGGAGAGGUAAGUGGAAUUCCUAGUGUAGCGGUGAAAUGCGUAGAUAUUAGGAGGAACACCAGUGGCGAAGGCGGCUUACUGGACUGUAACUGACGUUGAGGCUCGAAAGCGUGGGGAGCAAACAGGAUUAGAUACCCUUGUAGUC
rnacentral:rRNA from 1 species